GCGUCCUUUAAUCUUUGGAGAUAUUUAACCUAUAAUUUAUUCAGGGGAUCAAUAUAGAUUGGUCUAGCCUUUUUUUCAUAUAAAAUCACCCCGUAAUAGUAUAUUUCUCACGUAUUGGGACUUUUUUCCUGGACAAAAAAUAAAGCCUAGCAAUGUCGGCAAGGUAGAUGACGAUAAAACAAUGAUGGCAGAGCAGCUGGCUAAAUGUGGUGUUGGACAGUCAAAACACGAGGGUCACCACAAUAGUCACCCAUACGUGAAUGUUUAUAAACAUUUCUCAUGUUUCUUGAUAAUUUGAACCGAAAAUUUUCGACACGGUUGCUCACUUGAGCAGUUAAACAUCCUUAAUAACUUUAUGGGCACAACUGCGAGGGCACCUGGUUGCCCAUCUCUGUGAUAAACACGUGAAAACUCAUCAAUUAAUUUAAAAAAUUCACUUUUUCUCAAACAACUUUUUAACCCUAAAAUGCCGCAAAAAAAGUAUCAGAGUUUUUUGUUUGCAAGCUAAUGGAGAACACUAGGUAUCUGCAAAACAUUAAUUUUUCUGAGGGUCUUAUUCUCUCCCAUUAGCACGAAAAAAUGAUUAAUUAAAAACUGUAAUUUUUAUCAGAAUCUCCGGACAAAAACUCCAUUGGUCAUUUUUUUGAAAAAAAAAAUGUAAUAACGA